GGACUACUCGGGUUUCUAAUCCUGUUUGCUCCCCACGCUUUCGUGCCUCAGCGUCAGUAGUGGUCCAGAAAGCCGUCUACACCGCAGGUGUUCCUCCUGAUAUCUACGCAUUUCACCGCUACACCAGGAAUUCCACUUUCCUCUCCCACACUCUAGCCAGGCAGUUUCCGGCGCACCCUCCCAGUUAAGCCAGGAGAUUUCACACCAGACUUGCCCGACCGCCUACGCACUCUUUACGCCCAGUAAUUCCGAACAACGCUCGCUGCCUACGUAUUACCGCGGCUGCUGGCAC
rnacentral:rRNA from 1 species